AACUAUACCGUGAAACUGCGAAUGGCUCAUUAAAUCAGUUAUCGUUUAUUUGAUAGUACCUACUUACUUGGAUAACCGUGGUAAUUCUAGAGCUAAUACAUGCUAAAAACCUCAACUUCGGAAGGGGUGUAUUUAUUAGAUAAAAAACCAAUGCCCUUCGGGGCUCCCUGGUGAUUCAUAAUAACUAAACGAAUCGCAUGGCCUUGCGCCGGCGAUGGUUCAUUCAAAUUUCUGCCCUAUCAACUUUCGAUGGUAGGAUAGUGGCCUACCAUGGUGGCAACGGGUAACGGGGAAUUAGGGUUCUAUUCCGGAGAGGGAGCCUGAGAAACGGCUACCACAUCCAAGGAAGGCAGCAGGCGCGCAAAUUACCCAAUCCCGACACGGGGAGGUAGUGACAAUAAAUACUGAUGUGGAGCUCUUUAGGGUUUCACAAUUGGAAUGAGAAAAAUCUAAACCACUUAAACGAGGAACAAUUGGAGGGCAAGUCUGGUGCCAGCAGCCGCGGUAAUUCCAGCUCCAAUAGCGUAUAUUAAAGUUGUUGCAGUUAAAAAGCUCGUAGUUGAACCUUGGGCCUGGCCGGCCGGUCCGCCUCACCGCGUGCACUGGUUCGGCCGGGCCUUUCCUCCUGGGGAACCGCAUGCCCUUUACUGGGUGUGCCGGGGAAUCAGGACUUUUACUUUGAAAAAAUUAGAGUGUUCAAAGCAGGCAUUUGCUCGAAUACAUUAGCAUGGAAUAAUAGAAUAGGACGUUGUGGUUCUAUUUUGUUGGUUUCUAGGACCGCCGUAAUGAUA
rnacentral:rRNA from 1 species